rnacentral:rRNA from 1 species
UGGGGAAUAUUGGACAAUGGGCGCAAGCCUGAUCCAGCCAUGCCGCGUGAGUGAUGAAGGCCCUAGGGUUGUAAAGCUCUUUCACCGGUGAAGAUAAUGACGGUAACCGGAGAAGAAGCCCCGGCUAACUUCGUGCCAGCAGCCGCGGUAAUACGAAGGGGGCUAGCGUUGUUCGGAUUUACUGGGCGUAAAGCGCACGUAGGCGGACUAUUAAGUCAGGGGUGAAAUCCCGGGGCUCAACCCCGGAACUGCCUUUGAUACUGGUAGUCUUGAGUUCGAGAGAGGUGAGUGGAAUUCCGAGUGUAGAGGUGAAAUUCGUAGAUAUUCGGAGGAACACCAGUGGCGAAGGCGGCUCACUGGAUCGAUACUGACGCUGAGGUGCGAAAGCGUGGGGAGCAAACAGG